UUCGGAAUUGAUAAGCGCUGAAAGCAUCUAAGCGCGAAGCGAGCCCUGAGAUGAGUCUUCCCUGACAGUUUAACUGUCCUAAAGGGUUGUUCGAGACUAGAACGUUGAUAGGCAGGGUGUGUAAGCGUUGUGAGGCGUUGAGCUAACCUGUACUAAUUGCCCGUGAGGCUUAACCAUACAACACCCAAGGGGUUUUGUA
rnacentral:rRNA from 1 species